GUGUGACCCCAGGAUGGGCGGGAUGACCCGCUGAGUUUAAGCAUAUCAAUAAGCGGAGGAGAAGAAACUUACGAGGAUUCCCCUA
rnacentral:rRNA from 2 species